AUCCAGCUAUUUUUAAAAUUUGCGACUCUUAAUGAUAGAUAAAUUAUACAUAUUAUCUUUGUUCCAAACCAACUCCCUGGGUAUAUACAUGUGACUCUGCUAACUCCCGGCUCACUCAUCAGCCAUAGCUAUUACUUCAUGGGAAUUAAAUGUACUGAAAAUUGCAUUAUUAUGAUUCGUUUAGGCUCAUAAAUGGGCUUUAGAAUAUAUAAUUUUUUUAAUAGCAGUAGAAUCGUAGCCAGGAUUUAUAAAUAUUAUAUAUACAACCUCAAGAAACUAUUCGAAUCAUACUCUAAAAAUUUAAUUCAAAUUCUUAGUCCUUUAAAAUAAUAAAUAUAGACUCAUAUGAUUUAGGCUCUCCACAUCAAUAUUCAAUAGAUAAAAUUACGGAUUACAUUUAAUGCUUAUGAUGUAAAAAAACUGUAUAUAAGAACGAUUAUUUCAGUAUUCAUUGAUACUAAAUAUUAGAUUAUGUUCCUUGACAAUUGUAAAGCAUAUUAAUAUGACAUUAACAAUUAAAAUUAUUUUAUUAUUUAUCAAUUCUAAAUAAUGGUAUAAUGCAAAUAUGUAUUUAUUUAUGUGCUUCAUUGAUUUUAGUUUUAUUAUUAUUUUGUCUUAAUUGUUUAGCCUUAUAAUAUAUUUGAUAAUUGAUUACAGUUAUUACAAUUAAAUAUCUAGGUAUGUAGUAAAAACAUUAGAUUUCUGUUAACUACCAAUCAUCGGUUUUUUCACUACAACAGGUUGCGUGAUCGAAGCUUGUGAUCCUCCAGAUAGUACUCAUUAAGAUCAAAUAUAUACAACUUCUUUUUGAUUCAAAAAACCUUAGGACACGUUUAGGUAUGACAUUGAAUCCCGUUAUUUAGCGGAAAGAAGGAAGUGAACUGUUUGGACAUAAAUUUAGUUCAUGGUCAUUUGGUUAGAUCUUUCAUCGGAACAAUCGGAUUUAUGGAUCUGCAUCUUUCCCUAGGAAUUCUUAUUUUUCCACUUGGAUAUUCAAUCCAAACGCCUUCUGAUGUGUUCUCUUCAAUGUCAUGGUCAAUGUAGGUGGAUCUCAUAUUCACAGAGGGGAAGGAUCGUUUAUUGUGUAGGUACCCCGUCAUAUCAAGUAUACUUCAACAUAUAAGAAUAAGGAGUUCCAAAUGACGACACAAUAAUCGACUGAAAGAUACAGUGAGGAACAAAGAGAUUUCUCAUCCUCUAUCCACAGCUCCUUCACUGUCCUUGAUGUAUAUAACACAGAAAUCAAUCAUCUCAAUCUCAUUUAUAUCAAUUCCCUUUAUAAGUUGGACUUCGUGAUAUACGGUCUAUACGGAUAAUUAUAAAGCCUGGACACUUCAAUCUCACGCCUGAUUUCUUUAUUACUACUGAAUCUCUUUUGUUUUACUUAAAAUUACUUUGAGUGGCAUCAAAACUUCAAUAAUGAUGAACGUACAUACUUUUUACAAGUAUCUUCUGGAUCUUUAAAAAAAAGUGUUUCCAGGAGUGAACUCAUGAAAAAACAUUACAGAAAGAUCAACAUUACACUUUCCAAUUGGUUGAGGAGCAAUUACUUUAUGAUUAAGUUUGUGAGAUAAUUUCAAUCCCUAGCCUAGCUCCAUGUAGUAGAUUUGGCUUACAUGCACAAAUUCGGCUUCAAGAUUAAUAUCCUCAUUUUCAAAAGAUAGACAUGAAAAAUUUCGUUUGCUAGUAAAGUUGUUAUAAAACUUUUUUGAAGAUAUGUACCGAAUCGAAUAAAAUAAAUAUUUUUCUUUC
rnacentral:lncRNA from 1 species